rnacentral:rRNA from 1 species
AUUGAACGCUGGUGGCAUGCUUUACACAUGCAAGUCGAACGGUAACAGGGUGCUUGCACCGCUGACGAGUGGCGAACGGGUGAGUAAUGCGUCGGAACGUGCCGAGUAGUGGGGGAUAACGCAGCGAAAGUUGUGCUAAUACCGCAUACGUACUGAGGUAGAAAGUGGGGGACCUUCGGGCCUUACGCUAUUCGAGCGGCCGACGUCUGAUUAGCUAGUAGGUGAGGUAAAGGCUCACCUAGGCGACGAUCAGUAGCGGGUCUGAGAGGAUGAUCCGCCACACUGGGACUGAGACACGGCCCAGGCUCCUACGGGAGGCAGCAGUGGGGAAUUUUGGACAAUGGGGGCAACCCUGAUCCAGCCAUGCCGCGUGAGUGAAGAAGGCCUUCGGGUUGUAAAGCUCUUUCGGCCGGGAAGAAAUCGCAUGGGCUAAUACCCUGUGUGGAUGACGGUACCGGAAUAAGAAGCACCGGCUAACUACGUGCCAGCCGCCGCAGUAA